rnacentral:rRNA from 1 species
GAUGAACGCUGACAGAAUGCUUAACACAUGCAAGUCAACUUGAACUUCGGUUUGGGUGGCGGACGGGUGAGUAACGCGUAAAGAACUUGCCUCACAGUUAGGGACAACAUUUGGAAACGAAUGCUAAUACCUGAUAUUAUGAUUUUAGGGCAUCCUAGAAUUAUGAAAGCUAUAUGCGCUGUGAGAGAGCUUUGCGUCCCAUUAGCUAGUUGGAGAGGUAACGGCUCACCAAGGCGAUGAUGGGUAGCCGGCCUGAGAGGGUGAACGGCCACAAGGGGACUGAGACACGGCCCUUACUCCUACGGGAGGCAGCAGUGGGGAAUAUUGGACAAUGGCCCAAGAGUCUGAUCCAGAAAUUCUGUGUGCACGAUGAAGUUUUUCGGAAUGUAAAGUGCUUUCAGUUGGGAAGAAAAAAAUGACGAUACCAACAGAAGAAGUGACGGCUAAAUACGUG